GUGACAAUAAAAAUGUAGAGGGAGUGGGGUCAGUAAACAUGGUGGUGCAGGAAGUAAUCAGUGAAGAACAGUGGUGUUUGCAAGCAAUAAAGCCCAAAACGAAAAUGCAAAGCAAAGGGAGUGGGAAUAGCAUGCAGGGGGUGUAUAAAUGAAAUGGAAACAACACACAAAAGAGGGGUACAAAAUUGAAAGCGGGGGUGCGUGGAGCAAAAACGUCUCAACCCAAUUUCCACCCAAACUAAACCUAAUUAAAAAAUAGAGCUUCUUCUUCCAGCAGCCUCUUCUCGUUUCCCCUUCAAACCACCACGACUCCAAUCUGCCACUGCACGCCCCCACUCCGCUUCACCACGCCACGACGCAACUGGCUCACCGGCGACAACCAUUGACGCUGGAGACGUCAACACCCUCCUCGGCGGCUCGAUCGCUUCGUCCUCACGCACACAUCGAACCAGUCGGCUUCUGCAUUUUUUGCACCUUUGACGGCCAACCAACGUCGCUGCCAUCACCUCCGUUUCAUACUGGAGCCGUCGUCGUCGCUAUUGGUUCCCACUCGUUCUCCAUGCACGGACCUUGUCUUUGUGCGACACCCAAGGUCGUUGUCGUUAGCUCAUCUUCCGUUUAAAGCUCUGUUUCCACUUCUUUGCUCAUCUCUCCGAUAUGAUUGGAUAUGGAUGAUUCAGGCGAAACGCGCAGGCGAAGGUGAUGAUGCCCGUUGGUGACCGUAUGGAAUAGGCUGUUUUGGGUGAGUGGAGUGGAGAAAACUAAGAACGAAAAUGGCAGCUACGUGUGGGUUGCAGAAAAAUGAACGAGGAAAAUGAUGAUGGUGAGCAAGUAAGCGAAGAUGAAGGUGUCACUGAAGACAUGUUCCAUAAAACAUAAUUGUUUACGGUGUUCUGUGUGUUUGGAUUCUGGUUUGGCAGUAUCUUGCAGGUGAAAUGUAAUGAUGAGGGUUGAAGGGUUCAGUCGAGGGUGAUAAUGGAGAUUCAAACAACAAUGUAAUGUACACAACAAAUACAAUGAGUCAAAUAAAUGACAACUCAACGACUACAUUGUAUUCAUUCUCAAACACCACACAUUGUAUUCAUUCUCAAACACCACACAACAGCAUCAGGUUCACCUCAAACAUUCAAGUAUUUACUUACCUCUUACAGUCUUUAUCAGUUGGUGGCUUCACGUCUCAAUCAAUUCUUUCCUCCUUGGCUUGUUUGUUUCUCCUCCUUUGUUUUCAUGGCUGCCUCUGAUGGAAUUGUCUCCCUUCUACAAUGAAAUUCUAUUUGAA